CAGAAACUCACUUGAUGGCUGCACUUAGCAGGAAGUUGAGCUGCGGCAUCACAAGCGUGUCAGGGGACGACAAGUACCGAUCAAACUGGACCUGUUUGCAUGCGAAGGAUAACAGCAGGGAUCAUGAAUCAGAAGAGCUGUCCAUGCCGGGGAGGAGGGACAGAGCACCCUAAGAAAAGAAAAGCAACCGUCAGUUCAGAAUCCACCUCCAGGUCACAGCGCUCGAGCUGCAACAAUGUGAAGAACUGAACAAAGCUCUGCGGUUGCUGCUGAGUUAUUUGGACCAAAACUUUAAAUACCUGAUGGUGUGGUGGUAGAACUUGAGCAAGUUGGACAGCUUGUAAAGAAGAACAGCGCCUGGCUCUGCUACUAUGACUUGUUCUAUCCGAACCUGAGGAACAUUAACGAGUGACUUGUUUCAGCAGAGCUUCCAGAUGCUCUUUCUCUGAGGCAGUGGCUUGGUGCAGCCAGGCCAGCAUAUCCCCAACAUACCUGAAAGGGUGACAAAACAGCAUGUAAACAAUGGACCGAGCCAAGGCUAAUCUUUC